AAACCUGAGAAACCCGAAAGUUCGAAUGAAAAGAUUCAAUAUUCUUCAAUUGGUUGUACAUUUACUUUGUGAUUAUGUGAUAGUUUUAUGUUAAUUUCUUUAUCCUUCACUGGAUUUUGAAUGUACAUAUAUUCUACACCACUUUGUUUAUGAAUAAAUACAACUAUGAAGGUAUGCACUUCUUUUCUAGUAGGACGUUGCGACCCAUUGAAUGUUAAUCUACGGCUACUCGUUAGAGCCUAUUCCUAUUUUACUUAAUUGUAUUUAUUGGGAAAUAGAUUUCUGAGUAUGUCCCGAAUAACUGUUCGAUGGUAUUUAUAAAACCAUAAUAUUGGAUCGCCACUUUGUCUGGGCAUUUGGUAUUCAUUCAAGUAUGUAAGGUAAUUUAAAUGUCAGGGGCUCUUGUACUGGCUUUGAAUCCUAACUACUGUUCGAGUGAAAUUUACUAUCAAAUAGUAUCCUUUUAUUGGUCAGCAACGCUGUUGCUUUGGGUACUUUCAGGAC
rnacentral:rRNA from 1 species